GAUGAACGCUGGCGGCGUGCCUAAUACAUGCAAGUCGAGCGAACAGAUAAGGAGCUUGCUCCUUUGACGUUAGCGGCGGACGGGUGAGUAACACGUGGGUAACCUACCUAUAAGACUGGAAUAACUCCGGGAAACCGGGGCUAAUGCCGGAUAACAUUUAGAACCGCAUGGUUCUAAAGUGAAAGAUGGUUUUGCUAUCACUUAUAGAUGGACCCGCGCCGUAUUAGCUAGUUGGUAAGGUAGCGGCUUACCAAGGCAACGAUACGUAGCCGACCUGAGAGGGUGAUCGGCCACACUGGAACUGAGACACGGUCCAGACUCCUACGGGAGGCAGCAGUAGGGAAUCUUCCGCAAUGGGCGAAAGCCUGACGGAGCAACGCCGCGUGAGUGAUGAAGGUCUUCGGACCGUAAAACUCUGUUAUUAGGGAAGAACAAAUGUGUAAGUAACUGUGCACGUCUUGACGGUACCUAAUCAGAAAGCCACGGCUAACUACGUG
rnacentral:rRNA from 1 species